AAAUAGGUGAAAAUUUUGGUUUUAUGGAUAUUUUUGAAAGAAAAAUUUAAAACUGGGGGUCAAAAUAUAAUUAAAAAAACUUGUGCCAUGUAGGAUGCUCGGUCAGUAGCCCCGGCAAACCAGAACGCGUCGCGUGGCAACGGACACUAAUGCAGUGCCACGCAGAAGGCCAUGCGGGCGAUCCGCGUGCCCAUGAUCGAACGGCCUAAAUAUGUUCUCGCGCACACGGACGGCCUGGACACGUUCCCUCCCCAAACGUGAUUGGACGACCAAAUUUAAAUGCAAUCAACGGUCCAGAACUGCUUCCUAUUUAAACGCGAUCAGACGGUCUAGAUUAGAUCGCGAUGGACGGUUCAGAUUCACUCUCUAUUUAAUCGCGAUCAAACGGUACAGAUCAAAUGCGAUGGAUGGUCUAGAUUAAAAGGGGACGAGUAUAAAUAAUCCCCUUCACACCAAACCCUAACCCUAGCUGUCACUCGCUGCCGCGCCG
rnacentral:lncRNA from 1 species